rnacentral:lncRNA from 1 species
GUCUAUGCUAAGAGGGCAAUAGAAGAGGCUGCCCUUAAAGCUUUUAGUGAGAAGCGUCAUCUUGAGGAGAAAUUGGGGAUGGCUGUCAAACAGGCAGAAGAUUUCAAGGCCGCUGCUAAGAAGGCAAUCUACGAGGCCGGCGCAACUAAGAAAUGUUACAAGAUUGGCUUAAGCAAUUUUGUUGCAUACCUGGCCACCAGUGAAGGCAGAUCGUUGGGGGACUACGUAAACCAGCUAAUUGAGGAGAUACCACACGAUAAUAGGGCCCCGG